rnacentral:lncRNA from 1 species
CAUAUUUACACUGUAUUCCAUUCCAGCGCGAUGACUCAGAAUUCAGAAGGUUGGUGCUUCAGCCACCCACAGCAGGUUUUCCAGGUGCUUUUCUUCUCAGGGCCCAAGAGGAUCGUCUUGGGUGGAUGCUGCCACCUGGUGGCCAGUAUGGGAAGCUUUAAAAAGUUCCUUGAUAGAGGGAAGUGUGUCUGGUUCAGCCCUGGAAUACCGGUGCCUCCUAGGCGUUCUGCAAAUAGUAGCUGAAUGAACGAAGGAACCAAUCCACCCGAGGCAAAAUCAUCAGCAUGAAGUCGUUAGUGUAGGUGUGUGUAUCCUACAGCCACAGAAUGAAAUAUAAAAUUGGAAAAUUGAAGCGUCCGGGACCCUGAGGAACAGAAUCGUGAGCCCUUGAUGGCGAGGUUGGAUGCGUGUUGUAUUGAGAAAGUAUUGUAAUCGCGGGAGGAGGGAUCCAGACGGGAGGAG